rnacentral:sRNA from 1 species
UGUCGUUUUCAAAACUGAACGCAUCAACUAAACCGAAACCAACUGCUGUAGGGUCUGGUUUACGCCAUCAACUCAACCGAUACGAACUGCUGCACGGUUUGGUUUGUGCCAUUAUUAAGUUUUCCCAGGGUAAUUUGGUCCGAAAUUGAAUGAAAACACAAAACGUGAAAACCAGUUCUCACUUUGACAAACGGUGAGAGCAAAUCUUUUUUCGUCCACUUCUGUGAAAAUUUCUUUUGAUUCAAUCGGUCUGCCACGUGACUCAAACAAACUUCAGUAGAUCUAUGAUUCGUA